UGACAAAGUCAUUAGUAUGUUUUUUAGCGUGCAUGCAAGUUUGUCGGUCAAACCCAUCAAAACAUUCAGAGCGAAAAAAGAAAAAAAAUCACUGCAACAGAAAUCAAACGCAAAUCCAUGUACUGAUGCUAGUUUUAAAUGAAAUUCGGCCGCGGUGGAACAGCAGCGCUAUCAUGAUUUCGUAUGUGAAGAUGGUCAUCGGCUUGGUGGCAGCUGCAAAAACAGCCGAACUCGCCGCUGCUGGUUACUCUUGGCAAUGAAUGAACCAGCUGCAAGGAGAACCCAUUGUUCCGGAUCACCUAUACGUGGACAUCAAACCAAAAAGUCUGAUUCACCAGCAUCAAGCGUAGGCCAUCCUGAACAACAGCCUGGAUCCAAGAAGCAAGCGCUGAAAGAAAGCCAUCUCUGUGAGGUUUAUUUAGCUACGUAAUUGCUGCAUUCAUGGACUUUAAUCAGAC